rnacentral:misc_RNA from 1 species
AAUUGAGCAGCUAUUUCUUCAAAAUCCAUAGGAAAUUGAGAGGAAAAAGCAUUGCGUUUCGAUUAUCAAAAUUCAAAGGGCUUAUAGCUUUCUUCGUACGUUUCAUACGCAAUUAGCUUCAUUUUCUUCCACUGCACAAUUCAUGUUGAAUCUCUGGGGUAACAAAGGGCAACGGGCUCAGUCAAGUCCUCAAGAAGCUAAUAAUGGUUCACGGUAUUCACCUUCUGUAGUCAGCUCAUCAAGCUCUUCCCUCCCAGCAACCCCUAGUUCAAACUCUUCGGUCAGCUUUAAUGCACAGAGUCCGACAAACAGGCCAAGUUCUGUGUCCCAAGUUUCUCCUGCAGAGGGUGCUGACAUCAUUGCUGCUUUAAGAAACAAGAGUGCUAAUGAGCUAAAGAAGCUUGUUUUUGACAAGGAUGCUCGUCACAACUUCUUACUUUCACUUGAGGCUGUCAAGACUCAGAAUAAUGUCAGGGAUGAGCUUCGCAAUGCAACUGUGCAGCUUGCUAGGGAGAAUUUAGAAAAAGAACCCUGGAUAAUGGAGCUGAGAAAUCAGUGCAGGAUAAUCCGCACAACUGAACUGGCUGCUGCUCAAGAAAAGAUGCAUGAGCUGGAAAGGAGAAAAGAAGAGCUUCUAAAGUCAUAUUCUCCUGUAUCGCUUCUCCAUCAGCUACAAGACGCGAUGAAGAAAACGGAGGAGGAAUCUGAAGCCCUUCUCGGCCAGCUCCUUGGUCAAGAAAUUGAUCUUACAACAUUCGUGCAGAAGUACAAAAAACUGCAAUACAGUUACCACAAGCGUGCCCUCACACAUCUUGCUGCUAAGGCAUCUUUAGGCAACCAUAGUUAACAUCUCUUGAAGACGCGUAAUGUAAAUGUACCAUCAUGAACUACAAUAGUCCCAAUUGUUUCCUUCAUUUUCAUUUUCUUAGGUCUUUUGUAAAAUAUCAAUAUAGAUUGUGGGAGAUGGCGUAAUUCAUUUGAUUUUAUGUUGAUCUUAU